GCACGGGUGCGUAACGCGUAUAGAACCUACCUUUUACAGAGGGAUAGCCUUUAGAAAUGAAGAUUAAUACCUUAUAGUAUUGCGACUCGGCAUCGGGUUGUAAUUAAAGAUUUAUCGGUAAAAGAUGGCUAUGCGUCCUAUUAGUUAGAUGGUAAGGUAACGGCUUACCAUGACAUCGAUAGGUAGGGGUCCUGAGAGGGAGAUCCCCCACACUGGUACUGAGACACGGACCAGACUCCUACGGGAGGCAGCAGUGAGGAAUAUUGGGCAAUGGAGGCAACUCUGACCCAGCCAUGCCGCGUGCAGGAAGACGGCCCUAUGGGUUGUAAACUGCUUUUAUACAGGAAGAAACACUAGUACGUGUACUAGCUUGACGGUACUGUAAGAAUAAGGACCGGCUAACUCCGUGCCAGCAGCCGCGGUAAUACGGAGGGUCCGAGCGUUAUCCGGAAUCAUUGGGUUUAAAGGGUCCGCAGGCGGUCAAUUAAGUCAGAGGUGAAAUACCAUAGCUCAACUAUGGAACUGCCUUUGAUACUGGUUGACUUGAGUCAUAUGGA
rnacentral:rRNA from 1 species